rnacentral:rRNA from 1 species
CGUGGGUAACCUGCCCAAGAGAUCGGGAUAACACCUGGAAAUAGAUGCUAAUACCGGAUAACAACAGAUGAUGCCUAUCAACUGUUUAAAAGAUGGUUCUGCUAUCACUCUUGGAUGGACCUGCGGUGCAUUAGCUAGUUGGUAGGGUAACGGCCUACCAAGGCGAUGAUGCAUAGCCGAGUUGAGAGACUGAUCGGCCACAUUGGGACUGAGACACGGCCCAAACUCCUACGGGAGGCAGCAGUA